GACGAACGCUGGCGGCGUGCCUAAUACAUGCAAGUAGAACGCUGAAGAGAGGAGCUUGCUCUUCUUGGAUGAGUUGUGAACGGGUGAGUAACACGUGAGUAACCUGCCCUUGACUUUGGGAUAACUUCAGGAAACUGGGGCUAAUACCGGAUAGGAGCUCCUGCUGCAUGGUGGGGGUUGGAAAGUUUCGGCGGUUGGGGAUGGACUCGCGGCUUAUCAGCUUGUUGGUGGGGUAGUGGCUUACCAAGGCUUUGACGGGUAGCCGGCCUGAGAGGGUGACCGGCCACAUUGGGACUGAGAUACGGCCCAGACUCCUACGGGAGGCAGCAGUGGGGAAUAUUGCACAAUGGGCGGAAGCCUGAUGCAGCAACGCCGCGUGCGGGAUGACGGCCUUCGGGUUGUAAACCGCUUUCGCCUGUGACGAAGCGUGAGUGACGGUAAUGGGUAAAGAAGCACCGGCUAACUACGUG
rnacentral:rRNA from 1 species